CCUCCACGACCAAGAGAAACACUCCUCUUACGAAGCUGGCCACCGUCCUCAAGAGCGGAACUGUCAUCCCCACCGGCCCCAUCCCUACCUCAGGCCCUGAAUCCCCUUUCACCACCAGCGUGCCGGUGCUCACAGCUGGAUUCCUCACCUUGGCCAGACUCUUGCCCUCCCCCACCGGGACCGUCAGACGGACCUCCGUGACUGGCACCAGCCCCUCCACCUUGGAGCCCAGGGGGACCACGGGGUCCCAGACAGUGACUGCGUCUCCCAGCAGUGCCCGAGCCCCCUCUGCCGGCCCGGCCUCCACGUCCACUGAGGCUGGGUGCCUGCCCACCGGAUUGCCCGCCACCACCAGCAGACCUCGCCUCAACCGAUUAUCCCCCCGCAGCAGGCACCAGGAUUCUUAUCCCAUUGUGCUCCUGGGAGUGCUGGCCUUGCUCCCAGUUCCUGUGAUGCUGAUCAUGGUCUACGGGUUCUGGAAGAAAAGACACAUGGGAAGCUACAGCAUAAGCCGAGGUCCUGCCAGAUCCUGGAGGCACCCACCUGCAAGGCUGGAGUCUCCGCAGAAACCCAUCUGGUCUGAAGCCAUCUAACUGUGGGGCGGGGGGAACUUCUUCCAGAGGGGACCCCGGGAAGCCAGAGGAAGAGUGAAGACGGGACCUGCCUGGAUUGGAGCCAGGCUGGGGCUGAGGACUGUGCAACGCAGGACUCAGGCCUUUCCAGAACCGAGGCUGCACUGCACCCGCUCAGAUCCCCUGGGCUUCCAGGAACCUGAUGGGGGCAGAUGGGGGUGGGGAGCAGAGCAGAGGGCACCAGGUUGGAAGUCCCCAGGGGUUGAGGGGGGGUUCCCCCCAGGGAAUUCUGUUCACAGACCCCUGGGCCCUGGAUGGAUGGCAGAGAAGCCCUGACGGCGCUGUUUGCAGAUAGAACCUCAGCUCCCAUGGGCCUUGGAGCCUCUUACUGUGGAGCUGAUGGGGGGAGUGGUGCACAGCUGGGGCCACUAGCUCCCCUCACUUUCCCUCUGCUCCCCUCAAGCGUCGCCAGGCCUUUGGGGGGAAGAAAGAGUCCUAGAGACAGCCUGUAUCCCAAGGGUCCCACCUUGGAGAAGGGAUAGUGACUAAGAGCUGGGGGUCGCCAGAGGUGUUGGGGACCUCAGAGCUGUCCAACCCCCCACAUCCUGGGCCACAUGUCCUCUCCAGGGCCCCUGGGUGUGCCCUAACCUGACUGGAAGCCAGCAGAGCCUACAUGCCCCCAGCUGCUGCUAGCAGGCCACCCCCUCCCCUAGGGAAAGCUGGGAGCAGGCAGCUGGGAGCCCCUCACCUUCAGGACCAGUCUGUCCCCAGACUUGUGUGCACAGGCCAAUCAGGACUCUCCCCACCAGUCCCCACACCCCACCCUGGGUCUGAGCUUCUGGAGGGGCCUCAGGGCCCUUGAGGGUCCACUGGAGGGGAGGCCAUGGCUCAGAGAAGGGGGGGAUCACCCACCUGCCCUGUGGGGAAGAAAGGACCCACCUGUGACCCAGCAAAGGUCACAUGGAGGAGAGAGCCAAGGAGCCUGGGCCAGGGGCCCAAAGCCUGGGGGAGUGUGCCCUGCCCUUAGCUCGUGGCUCAGGCUGAAGAAGAGGGACUGGAUUCCUCCCUGGGAGAGGGGUGUCCACUGGCCUGGGGCCACUGGAAUGAGAGCCUCGGGGUAGCUGUGUCUUCUCCUCUCUUGGCCCUGGGCCAUAGACCUCCCAGGGUGGGAGAGCAAAUGUCCUCAUCAGGGUGGGGUGUGGGGACCAGCAGGACACAGCCAGGCCUUUGGUGGGCAGCCAGCCGGCGGGGGGCUACCCCAGGAUGGAAGUAGGGAGAGAGAAAGGGGUAGAGGCAAUCCUGGGGGACAGCAGGGAAGCGGCACCUCUUCCCUACGUCCAGGGAAGGGUGCUAGACGGGAAGUUCAGACUAAGGCACUGAGAGCCUGUUGCCAGGAGACGGACAGACAAAAGACAGACACACACACACACACACACACACACACACACACACACAGUGAUAACCAUCCCCCCUAUCAGGAGGGUGUGGCCAUCACCCAGUGGGUAACUAGGAGGAGGUUUAUUCUCCACCCUAAAACCACAUGCUGACGGCCCUGCCCUGCUGAGAACAGGGUGUCCGUGGGCAAGCAGUGCAGAGGCUCAGGAUGGGACCUAGCUAUGCCACCUGUCACUGUGAGACCCUGUGCAAGUCACUAACCCUUUCGGGCGUCAUUUUUUCUCUCUUGGGAAAGAAGACACUAAUUCCUACCUCUCAAAACUGUUUUUAGGAUAAAACAAAGUAACUUGGACCUUAUACCACUGAGUGAAUGCCUCGUGAUGCUUGGUCCUUGAGUCUUUUCCAGGUCUGGUGCUUGUCACAUUCUACCUGUAGGACCGUCAGACCCCAUUGAUUGGAGAGGGUGGAGGAACACAUGCUCAGGCCCCAGGAGAUGGGUCUGGACCCUGGCAGAGGCCUUUGUGCCCUGAUGUUAUGCACAGUAGCUGUUAGGGGACCCCGGAUGCCUGGCAGAUGCAGAGCGGGGUCAGAUAUCAGACAGGUCAGCGCUGCUGCCACCUUUGGUGGCCGACACACACGGACGCUUCCUGGGCCAUGGACUGUGACAAUGGGGACACACCUGCGAAAGACUUCCUGUCCUGGCCAAAGGAAGGAACAAAUAAAGGAAACCCAUCCCCCAAGGGAUGUUCGGUGUUCGCUUCUGGGAGCCUUCAGAGCACACAUCCUCCCCCUCUGAGGCCACCAGGGAGCCUGAAGUUCAUGGUCCCAAAUGGCUGCAAACUGGUGCUUCCCGUCUGCAUCCAACUGGGUGGGUGGACGCCUGCUGUGCUGGCGUCCUUCGGGCUGAUGAAAAGUAGUGAGGGUGGAAGUCGCCUUGUUCCCUUGUUGUGGGGGGCACCUCCCAAGGCAACCCCCCCAACUGACACAGGGAUGCGAAGCCCAUGUAGUCCCCACCUCCUUGGUGAGUCCUGAAGGGUCUCCCAUCCCCAGUGACCUGAGCUUCCUGUCCCUUGGGCAUUUGACCUCUCCCGCCCUUGGCUUCCCCAGCCUGGUCCCGAGCACCUUGAACCUCCCAGGGCCACUCGCUGCUGCUGAAGAGUCUGCUCCCCACAACCCGCCCAACCUGCUCCGCUGAUGGUUUACACACUCGUCUCUUCUUUGCUGUUUCUCUAUUAUCCAUAGACAGCUUGUGAGGACUAUGUUCUGUAGCUCAUCUGGUGACAAUUUUUUCAAAGGUGCUUGAUUAGCGCGACCUUUCAACAAGUACUACCAGACUGUGGCCGGCUGGGAGCUGGGACACAUGGGUGACCUGUGGGGUGGAGGUCCUCUUUCUCCUCCUCCCCCCUCCCCUUCCUUCUGCACCCAUGGCGUUAAUGCCCCCAGCUUUGCUCUCUCCCACCCUUGCUGGGGACCCUCUCUGCGCCUCCAUGCCUGGAAAAGACUCUCCAUCUCCCUUCUCUUCCCUCAACCCCCAUGGAACUUCCCAACUUCUCCAGGCCAGAAGUCUCUGAGCCCUGGGGACCUCAGGAGGGUCCCCUAAUUCUAUUGCUUACCUUCAGCCCCCUGUUCUUCGGUGGCGGGGUAGAAAGUUGAGGCUUGGGAGGCAGUGGUAGGAAAGAACGGAGAAAGAGGUUCUUCAUUUGUUAUCGAGUCUAAGCUCCUACUGCUCAGCCCGUGCCAGGCCAAUAAAUCGAGAGAGGACACACAUGCCAGGCCAAUAAAUCGAGAGACGACGUAUCGAGGGAAGGAAUGGUGACUUCAUUCCGAAGAAUGACCGACUUUCCACAGAACCAUCUCAUCUGAGUUAGACUUCAGGCUUCUUCGAUACUGAAAGGGGAGAGGGUGUGGUUGCUUGCUGCAAACUUGGUGGUAUCAGAAUCCUUUGUUCUUGCAGCUGUUUGCAAAGGUCAGGUCACCAUGUUCCUAUAAACUUCCAGACAAAACAAAUGCUCUUCUCUGCACUGCAACUUUUUAUCUCUAUAUGAAUGGGGAAAUGUUACACCUUUAAAGGUCAGAGCCUUGAGAAUGGGCUAUCCUAUCUAUUUCAGGCUGCAGGAAAUAUUCCUAACUGUAGCAAAGGCAUAAUGGGAUACAAAGUUUAAAGCAAAAGAAGCAGAUCCAACAUGGAGUCAGGUUUGUUCUUCCCUGUUACAAUUUCGCCAUAGUUUCCUCCUGGGCUCUGGUGGCUUUCCCCACCCCAGUAGGAGGGAGACAGGCUGAUGGGGAGGAGGUGGGCAUAAGGGAGCCAGAGUCCCUUGGAGCCUAGGGCCAGUCCCAGAUGGAGCACCUGCAGCCGAGGGUCCUGCCUGCAUGCCAAGGCCUCCCCCUCCUCUCCAGGCCCCCACUUCCCAGGCAGGCUUGGUAGCUGGGCUGAAUCCCCCCAGCUCCGGCUCUUUCUCCUUAAAAGCUUCCUUGUUCCCUUGAUUCUGUCCCCACCCCAACUCAGGAAGAGGGCCUGUGGCCUGGGAGGUCACACACCUGCUGCCACCUGUUCUGCUGGUGCGUCUGGUCUCAGCCCCCACCAGGCGGAAGAAGUUAACUGUAUGCUGCCUACAAGCAUGUAGACCCCAGACUGUUCAGAACCAGAAGGUUGAUGAUGCUGACUCCCAAUGACCUCACCACCAACCAAUCAGAAGACUGUCCAUAAGCUGACCACGCCCUGCUCCUUGAACACAAUAAGACUCCUCACUUCCCCACCUCUAGGGUGAGACACGGUUUUGAGGUCACGAGCCUGCUGUGGCCCCCUUGGCCUGACAAAGCAAUAAAUCUAUGCUUUUCUACUCCCCAAACUCUGUCUCUACGUUUCUAUUCGAUGAUGAUGAACAGGAGCUGGACAACAUCGUGACCUGAGGGUUUAUUCUCAGGCUCCUGGGAACAGAAGCCAGAGUUGCUGUGGAAAGUGGAGGAUGAGACAAUCGCCAGGGACACUGGUACCUGCCCCAGCAAGGCUCAAAGUUGAAAACCCAGGCAGGAAAACAUCAGCAUGUCAUUGAACUGUGUU